UACGAACCGUACAAGCGUUAUUCGGAAUCACUGGGCUUAAAGGGUGCGUAGGCGGCCAUGUAAGUGUGGGGUGAAAUCCCUCGGCUCAACCGAGGAACUGCGCUUCAUACUGCAUGGCUUGAGGGAGACAGGGGUAAGCGGAACUGAUGGUGGAGCGGUGAAAUGCGUUGAUAUCAUCAGGAACACCGGUGGCGAAAGCGGCUUACUGGGUCUCUUCUGACGCUGAGGUACGAAAGCUAGGGGAGCGAACGGG
rnacentral:rRNA from 1 species